ensembl:lncRNA
AUGGGCUGGGCUGGAGGGGGACAUGGAGUGGAAGGGAGGGCAGGGGAGAGAUUUGGGGUCCUGGGGCAAGCUGAGUGUCCUUGGGUAACUCAGGAAGGGUUCAGGGUGUCCCCAAAAGGGGGUGUCAAUGUCUCUGAGGGUCUCAGAAAGUCCCCAGAGGUGCUCAGGAGGUCCCAGCUGAUCCAGAGGAUCCCUGAAGGGCACCCAGAAGGGCUUCUCAGUGUCCCCAGGGGUCUCAGGAGGACCCCAAAGGUGCUUGGGACGUCCCAUCUGAGACUCAGGGGGUCCCAGAGAAGGUCUCAAGUCCCCAAGGGUACAGAAGUCCCCAAAGGUGCUCAGGAGGUCCCAAGGUGGUCUCAAGGUGUCCCAAGGUGUCCCAAGAUAUCCCAGGUGCCCCAAGAGGUCCCAGAAGCCAGUCCCCAGGGUGGUCCCACCCCUCCUCGGGGUCCCCCCAGCCCCACCUUGUCGAUGAAGGCGGCGAAUUUAUCAUUGAGGGUCUUGAUCUGCUCCUUCUCCUCCCGGCGCAGCUCCUGCAGCUCGGGAUCCACGGCCACGUCCAGCGGCGCCAGGAGACUCCGGUUGAUGGUGACGGCCGUGAUGCCCCCGCCCGGCACCCACGAGGGUCCCCCGAGCCCCCCGGAGACCGACAUCUGAGAGGGGAGAGUGCGAAGAGAGGCUGGAGAGAGCCUGCCAAGGGCUCGGGAGGUGCCAAAGGAGGAGGGCGGCUGGAGGAUGGGGAAGGUGGAGAAGACUGGGAGGAGGUUGGAAGUUGGAGAAGGAGAUAGGAGGGAGUUUGGAAAGAGGUUGGAAAGUGGGUUGGAGGAGGCUGAGGGGGAUGAGGAGGCUGCAGGGAGGAUGGAGAAGGGUAGAAGGAGGAUGAGGAGGUUGGUGCAAGUUUGGAAGACGGUUGGAGAAGGUCCUCAGCUGAGAAGGACGAGGACGACUGGAAGAGGCUGAAGACGCUCAGGGUGAUGAGGACGGCUGGAGCAGGUUGGAGACGGCUGAGGAGGACGAGGCCGAAGGCCGCGCUCGGGGCAGGGAGGCUCCGGCGGCCGCCCCGGCAGGACCGGCCGGACGGGUCGGGGCAGGACGGGCCGGGCCGGGCGGAGCGGCCGGGCGGGUUCCGGGCGCCUUCCCGGUUUGGUUCCCGGGUUGGUUCUCGGGUUUACCCCAGAGCCGGGGGAGGAGAAGCGGGGGGAGGGACCGGAGCUUUAACCCCUUCGGGACGUGCGAUUGGCGGGAUCACCGGGAUCCACCGGCAUCGGGACGGGAGGGUACGCGGGUGUGGGCUUACCCCAAAAUGCGGCCCCUGCGCUCCACACCCGCCUCGGCGCCCCCUCCAGAACUAGGAGACCCACCGGCACUCCCUCGGGAGUGUCCCCAGCCCUUCCCCACCGUGUCCCCACACCUGAGUCUCCUGAUCUGAGUCCCUGACUCCAUGGCACCAAGUCCUGUCACCCAGUUUGGGCCCCCGACCCCCAACCCCAGUCCAGUCUCAGCCCCCAACCCCUGACCCAAUCCCAUGUCCCCAGCUUGUCCCCCAGUCUGGGGCUCCAGACCAAUGUCACCACCCUGUGUCCCCCAGUCUGCAUGCCCAGCACCACAUCCCCAAUCUGUGACCCCAAACUAUUCCCCCAACCCCUGACCCCAGCCC